GAGCAAUUAUUUUGCACCAAAAGUAUUUUUGCAAGCCAUUCUACACCAUAAUGAAAAUAUUUUUGAUUUUUAAUCACAACCCAAUUUUUCGUGUCGGUUGCCCUUUAAGUGUAACAGAUGAUGAUUCUGAAUUAGAAUCACAGUCGGAAAUAUCAUUAUCAGAUUUUAACGCAACCAGUGCUACUGGCCUUGAGAUAACUGGAGCAGAUCAACACAGCCAAUUUCACCUCUUGUGGAAUCAACACUGACUGCUAACACUGCUGAUACUAACACUGAUAUUAACACUGAUACUAACACUGAUACUAACACUGAUCCUAAGACUGAUACUAACACUGAUCCUAAGACUGAUACUAACACUACAGUGGUGGCUGGUACAUGUAAGCCUCAUCAGUCACAUGCAUGGGAAGAAGUAUCCAAAGUUUGUCUGGUCAGUAGAUCACUGGAACCUUUUCAAAAUUCGAACAAAUAUUGAAAUCAAUUCAAAAUAUAAUUGAUAAGUGGAAUGAUAAGUCACUAACUGAACGAGCUAAUACUAACCUGAUUCAGAACACAGUUCAACUAUUAGUACUUAAUGUUGACAGUUUUAUAAUAAUGAUUGGUAGAAUUAUGAAACUAGUGACUGAAACGUGUGGCAUUAAUAAAAGAAGGAGUAGAAAAAUACCUGAUGAAGUAAAAUGAUAAAAUAAUUCAUUAUUAUUAUUUUAGAAGGAUUCCUUACAAGUUGAGACAGUAUUACAACAGUUUUUAUUCUUGUAUGAUGUUCUGAUACUCAACAAUAAAUAUAAAUACCAUGAGAUUGAGACUAGAAUGAACAUGGAGACUGGAGGAGUGUUGAGACAAUGUUUGAGACUAAAUAUUAGCAUUAAUGACACACACCUCAUGUAUUGAUGUGUAUUGUACUGUACUAUAGUAUUAGUGGUGUCAUCUCUUGAUUGUAUCAAAGCUAACAAUGAUUAUGAGGAUCAGCAGUCCAGAUAUCACAAACACGAGAUUGCUAUUGAACAAAUGAAGCAGCAAUCAAAGACUAUUUUAAAAUCAGUGUGAAUGACUGAUACCAGCUUAG